rnacentral:rRNA from 1 species
UGGAGACAGGUGGUGCAUGGUUGUCGUCAGCUCGUGUCGUGAGAUGUUGGGUUAAGUCCCGCAACGAGCGCAACCCCUAUCCUUAGUAGCCAGCGGCAUGGCCGGGCACUCUAGGGAGACUGCCAGGGACAACCUGGAGGAAGGUGGGGAUGACGUCAAAUCAUCAUGCCCCUUAUGGCCAGGGCUACACACGUGCUACAAUGGCGUAAACAAAGGGAGGCGAAGCCGUGAGGUGGAGCAAAUCCCAAAAAUAACGUCUCAGUUCGGAUUGUAGUCUGCAACUCGACUACAUGAAGCUGGAAUCGCUAGUAAUCGCGAAUCAGAAUGUCGCGGUGAAUACGUUCCCGGGUCU